rnacentral:lncRNA from 1 species
UCAUCAAAGAACACGGAGCUGCCCCAUGGAGAAUCAUAUUCCACCUAAGAAAUUCUGCAACAAAAUAGAACACUUUUUCCUAAAGAAGAACAUUUCAGUGUAUGUUAUGGUCACUAUCUCAUUUGUGAAAUAUCCCUGCAAGGAGUGCAGAUGA